rnacentral:rRNA from 1 species
AGAUUGAACGCUGGCGGCAUGCCUUACACAUGCAAGUCGAACGGCAGCACGGGAGCAAUCCUGGUGGCGAGUGGCGAACGGGUGAGUAAUAUAUCGGAACGUGCCCAGUCGUGGGGGGAUAACGCAGCGAAAGCUGUGCUAAUACCGCAUACGAUCUAUGGAUGAAAGCGGGGGAUCGCAAGACCUCGCGCGAUUGGAGCGGCCGAUAUCAGAUUAGCUAGUUGGUGGGUAAAAGCCUACCAAGGCGACGAUCUGUAGCUGGUCUGAGAGGACGACCAGCCACACUGGAACUGAGACACGGUCCAGACUCUACGGAGGCAGCAGUGGGGAAUUUGGACAAUGGGCGACAAGCCUGAUCCAGCAAUCGCCGCGUGCGAGAUGAAGGUCCUUCGGGUUAGUAAACUGUACUUUUGUAACGGAAACGUAAACGGUUCUCUACUAACUACGAACGGGACUAAGUCGUAACGGUAACCGUAAAGAAUAAACG